UGCAGUCGAGCGGAUGAGUGGAGCUUGCUCCAUGAUUCAGCGGCGGACGGGUGAGUAAUGCCUAGGGAUCUGCCCAGUAGUGGGGGAUAACGUUCCGAAAGGAACGCUAAUACCGCAUACGUCCUACGGGAGAAAGCAGGGGACCUUCGGGCCUUGCGCUAUUGGAUGAGCCUAGGUCGGAUUAGCUAGUAGGUGAGGUAAUGGCUCACCUAGGCGACGAUCCGUAACUGGUCUGAGAGGAUGAUCAGUCACACUGGAACUGAGACACGGUCCAGACUCCUACGGGAGGCAGCAGUGGGGAAUAUUGGACAAUGGGCGAAAGCCUGAUCCAGCCAUGCCGCGUGUGUGAAGAAGGUCUUCGGAUUGUAAAGCACUUUAAGUUGGGAGGAAGGGUUUCUGGCUAAUACCCAGGAAUUUUGACGUUACCGACAGAAUAAGCACCGGCUAACUUCGUGCCAGCAGCCGCGGUAAUACGAAGGGUGCAAGCGUUAAUCGGAAUUACUGGGCGUAAAGCGCGCGUAGGUGGUUCGUUAAGUUGGAUGUGAAAGCCCCGGGCUCAACCUGGGAACUGCAUCCAAAACUGGCGAGCUAGAGUAUGGCAGAGGGUGGUGGAAUUUCCUGU
rnacentral:rRNA from 2 species